rnacentral:rRNA from 1 species
UACAGAGGCCUCAAGCGUUAGGCGGAAUCACUGGGCUUAAAGCGUGUGUAGGCGGAUCGUUAAGUGUCUUGUGAAAUCCCACGGCUCACCCGUGGAACUGCUGGGCAUACUGGCGAUCUUGGGCCAACUAGGGGCAGCCGGAACAAGCGGUGGAGCGGUGAAAUGCGUAGAUAUCGCUUGGAACGCCGAAGGUGAAAACAGGCUGCUGGGGUUGUGCCGACGCUGAGACACGAAAGCCAGGGGAGCAAACGGG